AUUGAACGCUGGCGGCAGGCCUAACACAUGCAAGUCGAGCGGCUGAAGGGAGCUUGCUCCUGCAUUCAGCGGCGGACGGGUGAGUAAUGCCUAGUAAUCUGCCUGGUAGUGGGGGAUAACUUCCUUAAACGGGCGCUAAUACCGCAUACGUCCUGAGGUAGAACGUGGGGGAUCUUCGGACCUCACGCUCUCAGAUGAUCCUAUGUCGGAUUAGCUAGUUGGUGGGGUAAAGGCCUACCAAGGCGACGAUCCGUAACUGGUCUGAGAGGAUGAUCAGUCACACUGGAACUGAGACACGGUCCAGACUCCUACGGGAGGCAGCAGUGGGGAAUAUUGGACAAUGGGCGAAAGCCUGAUCCAGCCAUGCCGCGUGUGUGAAGAAGGUCUUCGGAUUGUAAAGCACUUUAAGUUGGGAGGAAGAGAAGUAAGUGAAUACCUUGCUGUUUUGACGUUACCAACAGAAUAAGCAACGGCUAACUUCGUG
rnacentral:rRNA from 1 species